AAAAUAUCGAGGAUCGAGUAGCAUGUAGCUAGUAUAUAACAUAGAACAUAAAGUGUAAUGCAUCAAACAAGAAGCAUCAAGUAUCGAGGAUCGAAUAGCAUGUAGCUAGUAUAUAACAUAGAUCAUAUAACAUAAAGCAUAGAGCAUAGAGCAUCAAACAUUGAGCAUUAAGUAUUGAGUAUUGAGGAUCGAAUAUCGAGUAUCGAGUAUCAAGUAUCAAGUAUCAAGUAUCAAGAAAACUUAUAAAUCAUAGCACGCGGAUGAGUUAUAGGGUUGAAUAAGUAAAUUCAUAGGAUGCUGACAUAAGCAAAAGGUCACUUUUCAUUCAAUUUUAAAAAGGUACCCAUUUUUCAUUUGGCCCUAAAAAAAGAACCAUCCAUCCAAAAAACCCUUUCCUUCCCCUCCCUCCUUUCUCCCUCUCUUCAUCUGUUUCUCUCCUCUUUUUCGAUGAGGAACCAUACUAGCCCACCCUCACGUUUCCUAUCUCAGGCAAAAACCCCACUUGGUAGCACCAAGAAUGAACAUUCUGGCUGAAUAGACCGGCGACACUGACCCAAUUGGUUUAGACAGCGAUAAGCGACAUGUGGCCUUCAACAUUAUCUUGGACACAUCAAUGUCGUGCCCUCACAUCAGUGGAUUAGCCGCUCUUCUUAAAGCCACACAUCAAGAUUGUAGCCUAACCGCCAUUAAAUCUACUCUAAUGACCACAACAUACUCAACAUAUAAAAAUGGCAAAGCGAUUCAAGAUGUAUCCAACAAAUCACCAUUGAUACUGUUCGAUAUCUGAGCCAGACAUGUAAAUUCUAACGCCUACCCUCGAUCCCGACCUUGUUUACGAUACCACCACCGACAAUUACUUCACCUUCCUCUGUGCCCUAAACUACAGUUCACUUCAAAUUGAAUUAAUCAACAAGAAAGACUUCACAUUCAAUGGAAACAAUAACUACAAAUUGGAGAAUCUGAACUACCCAUCAUUUGCAGUUUCAUUAGAAACCCCUUCCACCAACAGUGCUAUAAAAAACCACACUUGCCUUUUUCUUCAUUGUUGUAAUCUAUAGUUCCCCUCAAGCGUUGUUACCCCCUCUCCAUGUUUGGAUCUCGCAAUGUGCCUCAAUCUCCCUAGAACCCCUUUCCAUGUUUCUUCCAGAUCUUCUAUCUAUGGCUCUUUCUCCUCACCAUUGCAAUUCUUCCUCUGCUUCUAAUUAUAGUAACCCUAACCAACCCUCUGAUCUCCUCGUUUUCUCAGGUCUCCAAUGCCACUAGUUUUUAAUCCUUGUUUCAUUUUCUCUUCUAAAAAACUAGUACUUUUCUCAUGGUGCAGAUGGGACUGCAUUUAAAGGCUUAUUCGAGGAGCUAAAAAACUUUACGACUCAUGUAGCUCAUGUUCUUCCUGUUUCUGAUGAUGGAGGUAGCACCGCUGAGAUUGGUCGUGUGCUUGGUGAAUUUGUUUAACGGUCAUUCUCUUUUGUGUAAAUUAUGUAUUCAAUUUUUGAGUGAAUCUUGGGCUAGAUGGUUCGACUGUUGGAGAUAUAUGAUCAAAUUUGAGUACUACAAGUUUACACUAGUUUUGGACUCAUUCUAAGCCCUUUCGGUAAGAUUUUGGCGGUAAAAUCUUGUUUAGACUUUUUCGAACCCUUACUAAAUAUUGUAAAUUGGUUUAAAACCAUCUAGUGAAAUUUUAGGGUUGUUUGGGUAAGUUUAGUAAGUAUUUAACCUACUUUAAAUCCUUUCGAACUAGAUUAACAUGUUCUUGAAUUGUCCAUGACACUUGAAAAUUAUAUAUAUGUUGCAAGAAGUCUUAGUACAUAAAGACAUAUUUUCUUUUGAACUUAUUUAAUGUUUAUUGUAGCUUUCUCAAAGUUAUGAUGCUCCUAAAUUUCUUAGACCAGUUGAGGUUCAACUUAUGCUUUAUUAUGCCAAAAAAUGGGAAGAAAUUGAGAAGUCAGAUGACGCAUAGGAAAGCUUGGAUAUGGUCAUUUUUGGUCUCUAAUGUAUGGCAAGAGGUGAUAUUCAUGGCCAUGUUGGAGGCAGCUUUCAUAGAUACAGUGUGGAUGAGUGCUGGCAUGUUCCUCACUUUGAGAAGAUUACAAAUGUCUAUCUAAGAUGCCUUUUCCAUAACUUAGGAUUCCUGAUGUUCUUGACUAAAUGAGGAGAGAUAUGAUUAGACAAGGGUAGCAGGAACUUUGUUAAUGACGGAUUUCCCCUGUUUCUACAAUCAAUGAUAGUUCAACUUGAAAAUGUAUUACACAUAAUUACGGAUGUAACUUUUUACAUUUGUUGGCAUCUAGUUUGUACAUGUUAUAUGUUUCUGUUUGAUGAUAAAAUUGAUGUUUAAUGUCAUUUACUCUUAUUAUAUCCACAUAAAUAUUGUUAGUUAGUCUUAUUUGAUGUCAGCCAAUACUCGUAUAAUGUCGGUUUUCGACUGAUACUAUAGCUUAGUUUUAUACUAGUGAUAACAGGUUUAUAUAUUAAAUUGAAUAUUAUUGUUUUAAUUAAUGAAAUACUUUUACCGAUGCAUACAUAUGUUG